rnacentral:rRNA from 1 species
UAGGGAAUCUUCGGCAAUGGGGGCAACCCUGACCGAGCAACGCCGCGUGAGUGAAGAAGGUUUUCGGAUCGUAAAGAUCUGUUGUAAGAGAAGAACGUGUGUGAGAGUGGAAAGUUCACACAGUGACGGUAACUUACCAGAAAGGGACGGCUAACUACGUGCCAGCAGCCGCGGUAAUACGUAGGUCCCGAGCGUUGUCCGGAUUUAUUGGGCGUAAAGCGAGCGCAGGCGGUUUAAUAAGUCUGAAGUUAAAGGCAGUGGCUUAACCAUUGUUCGCUUUGGAAACUGUUAGACUUGAGUGCAGAAGGGGAGAGUGGAAUUCCAUGUGUAGCGGUGAAAUGCGUAGAUAUAUGGAGGAACACCGGUGGCGAAAGCGGCUCUCUGGUCUGUAACUGACGCUGAGGCUCGAAAGCGUGGGGAGCAAACAGG